rnacentral:rRNA from 1 species
CCUACGGGUGGCUGCAGUGGGGAAUAUUGGACAAUGGGCGAAAGCCUGAUCCAGCCAUGCCGCGUGUGUGAAGAAGGCCUUCGGGUUGUAAAGCACUUUCAGUGGGGAAGAAAGCCUUGGGGCUAAUACCCUCGAGGAAGGACAUCACCCACAGAAGAAGCACCGGCUAACUCCGUGCCAGCAGCCGCGGUAAUACGGAGGGUGCGAGCGUUAAUCGGAAUUACUGGGCGUAAAGCGCGCGUAGGCGGUCUGAUAAGCCGGUUGUGAAAGCCCCGGGCUCAACCUGGGAACGGCAUCCGGAACUGUCAGGCUAGAGUGCAGGAGAGGAAGGUAGAAUUCCCGGUGUAGCGGUGAAAUGCGUAGAGAUCGGGAGGAAUACCAGUGGCGAAGGAGGCCUUCUGGACUGACACUGACGCUGAGGUGCGAAAGCGUGGGUAGCAAACAGGAUUAGAUACCCCAGUAGUC